rnacentral:lncRNA from 13 species
GUUCUUGCAAACUGAGUUUCAGAAAUCAUGACCCUGGCAUGAAUCACAAGAUCAUAAAAGCCUUCUGAGAUUCUGCAAACAUGGUAUCUCUAUCUCCUUGACAUUCUCCUGCAGCAUUCCAGACAGGCUGUUGAGAUUGAGGUAGAGAUAGAGUGGGCAGCCUGGAGAAAAUUGUAAAUGUUUGUAAAACCUGCUGAGGAGCUUUGGAGAAGCAGAUGACCCAGACCAAAUAAAAAGACUGCUAAGCUAUUCUGGAGGUUCACCUGAGUUUAGAGGGCAUGGAUUUAUUGUGGCUAUUGCAUUCCAGACCCUUGAAUAUGUUUUCACAUUUAAUCCUCCUGACAUCUAAAUAUGUAAAUAUAAUUUUCCUGAUUUUGCAGAAUUUAAGUCACUAAUAGAAGCUGCCACCGCUAGUUAGAGUUUUGUGGAUGCAAACAACAGAAAAUCACUUUUAUAGAUAAAAGGCAUUUCACUGGAAAAAUAUGUGGAAACAAGAGGGCCAAAACAAAGAGGGAGGUUAAUGAACCAAUAUGUAAAGAACAAAACCAAAGCAUUUCGCAGGCCUCAAGUAGUAAAAACGAAUAGACCGAUUCUUUAGGAUAUAGCUGCCUGUAUAUUCCUUAGUAUCUUUGGAUCACUCCGCCCCAGAGUCCAAUUCUGAGAGAGCAGAUGGUGGGGAGACACUGACUGCCUUAGCCAAAGUCAUACUCUUAGUUGAGAAGCUGCCUCCAAGACUGGAAUACAGCAUUGUGCAGGUUAAGAUGGUUUUGCCAAAGAAAGGAGGCUGGAUAACGGUGAGCAAAGAUGAGCAAAUAUGUCCACAACAGAUCAAAUAGCAGAAUCUCUAUUUGUCAGAUGUGAAACCUAAUGUAUGUUUUUUAGCUAGGUCUGUUGUCAUCUGGAUGAUUAUAGCACAAGUGAAACAGAAGAGAAAGAGAUUUGAGGGCAUUAAUGCUGGAAAUAGUGAUGGAUAAUCACUAUACGUCUGAGCUAGGAAAGAUAAUUUGGAAACCAGAACUGGGACAAGAGACAGGGUUUCGUCUUGUUGACCAGGCUGGUCUCGAACUACUGAUCUCAAGUGAUCCACCCACCUCGGCCUCCCAAAGUGCUGGGAUUACAGGCGUGAGCCACCACACUCGGCUGUUUCUGCUGACUCUCGUGGUGAUUGCCUUCUUGUGUGUUUGGUAAUCCUGUUUGUGAGUUCAUGGCUUGAUCAUAAUCUGUGGGAGUCCUCUGUACCAAACUUGGAAAGUUUCCUCCAGACAAGGUUGGUUUUCAUUCCUGUCCAUAAUAUUGAGGCUCAGAAGCCAAUACCCCAAAAUAUGGCAUUUUUACAUGCUGAACUAAGAAGUGUCAAGGUCUCUCUGAUCUACUCACACCUCAGCAGCUCUCCCUAAGAAGCUGAAGUUCCUUUACCUGCCUAAGAUCCAGACCCACCAAGGAAAAAAGUUUUCUUCCCUUCCCUGGGAAACCUGGCCAAUUGUCCUGUAGAAUUGAUAUUUAUGGUUCCUUUGAAUAAACACAGAAAUUUAUCCUUCUAGUCUUAAAAC